GGCUAGACAUAAUUUUAAGUGUAUAUGCAUCACAGUUAGCUUAACCGUGCAAUAUGUACCAUAUGGUGUUAGGUGGAUUAGAAUUUUCAUUUGAGUACAUUUGGUCGGUUUGAACCUAUUGCAACUCUCAAGAUAAUAUGACCUAGCUUGAACGUAUGUAGAAAGCAAAAGACAACAUUGUGGGUUUAUUGAAUUCAUGAAUAGAGCAGGAGGACAGGCAGCCCAGGAUUAAAUGAAAGUUUACUGUGCAUUUCCAUUCCAUGUAGUGGCAAUCAUGAUGUAGCCAUAGGAUAGCUUGAAAUAGUAUCAUGUUCGUACUUUUGAAAUACUACUUCUACUUUUGCUUGUAAUUUACUGAAAUUAUUUAUCUUAGGUGUUGUACGACUAUGAGCUGAAGAUUGGGUGGGUCAAAUAUGUUGCUCUUCCAUCACAAGUACUGCCUGGUCCUCCUCCAGGACAUAUGGCAAUCAGAAGCAAGGAGGAGAUGAAAAAGAAAAAAAAAAUCAAGAAGUAAAUUCCUCCAUGAACUAAAUAGUAGUCAGUAACCGCAGAUUCUUUCCGUGAUGCUAGAAAGAGACAAGAAAAUAACAAAAAGCCGCUUGGUCCGACCCUCUCACCAGUCCAGGCAAUGGUGGCAAGGUGGAUGGAGGACGUGGUGCGACGUUCUUUGAGGCAGAAGUGGCAGGAGCCUAAGUAGUUCCCGAAGAGGGUAAUGAUUCUUAUCCUUUGCUUCUGGCGUCAUCCUUCCCCAAUACUUGUCUCUUUUGCGUCAGCACAGGGCGAAGAACCCAUGGAGGCUUAUUUUAUAUUCAUUUCAAUCUUGGUCCGCUAGAA